UGUUCCUUUUGCAAGGAACUUGAAUUUCUCAUUUCUGAGUAGCCCACAUAUUCUUUUGCUGUGUCUGUGGAUGGACAUGAUUAUAGUGCCUUGACUGACUUGGGUACAUCUAAUCAUGCCAUGAAUGCUGCUGGCAGUAAUAGCAGUUGUAGUGUGUGAAUUAUUUUGUGUGCACAUUGCUGAACUGCUCCCUCUCAGAGUGGUCUGGCAUGGUGACUGUAUACUGUUGACCUUUUUCUCCUGCCACCACCAGUUCCCUUGGAAGUGCACUCUCCUACCAAUUUAGCUGUCACCGUGCCCAAAUCUGUCCUAAAGAGGCUCUUUGAUUACAUCCACAAGGUACAAAGUAUUCCCAAGAAAGCAAGAACUUCCAAAUUACUUUCCAGUUUAUUUUCUUUCCAGCAUCUACUAAGAUGGAGACCCUUUAUUAUAGGAUAAUCUUUAUAUUCUUUUCCAUAGGCUGACCUGUGGGUUUUUUUUCUUAGUAGAUACCUGUGCAAUAUAAAAUAAAAGAAUGCCAUGUGCUCGAUAGCAAAGCUGAAGGCUACCUUCUCAUCCUCUCUGCAUGUCGAGUUGUUGUCUUUAAUGCAUCACUUCAUUCAUUUUUUCAGUUUUUUUGCAGGCUGGGAAAUAAAAGCAGAGCCAGUGAGCUGCACUGCCAGGUAAGAGUUGGAACCCAAACCAUGCUUCCCAUUACCAAAUUCCCCAAGGCUUCAUUGUUCUAGUAUUUGAGGUUUAUAGAAAAUAACUGCCUGGUUUCUCUCUAUGCCUGUAAAUGAUUAUAGGCCUCACAUUUCUAACCUCUUCUAAUUCUGCCAGUAACAGCAAUACAGCCUCCAUGUGGUAACCUAGUUGUUCACAUCCAUAAACUUCUUUAAUCUUUGUCCAAAUUCCCAUUUCUGCCAAAGAAUGCAUCAGGUAACAAGAUAAGACACAGGGAAAUGUAACCCUUGCCCCAAAUAACCUGUCAUGAACUGUAAUGUUUUAUCACAAGAACUGUACUUUGCACAGUUGUGUAAAAGAGCAACAAUCUGCCUGCCAAACCUGCAGCUCUCCCACGCUCCGUGGCACUGACACCAGGAUUCCCAGGUUUUGCCUGUCGGAUUACUGCUGCCAGCUGGUUCUUUCCAAAGCCAUGGCUGCUGGGUAGCAGCACCAAGGCAGCAUUGUUGAGUUUGUGCCCUGCACACAUCCAUGCUUGGUACAAUGAGGAAGAGGAGGCUGCAAGGUUCCCUCAGUGUAGGCUGUUGGGGGCAUACAGCAGCAGAACAAGAAGGAAGAACAGCAGAUACAGCUGAAAUAUUCCAUGUUUAAAAUAAUUCAGUCUAAUGCUGGUUAUAGCCUCCCUUUUAGUGUACGUACGUGUGCAGGUUUUGGUCAUAUGGAUCACUCCCUGAGAAACCUUUGUUCUUCUCAAAUUUCUCAUGACUCCAGUGUGCUUUAAUCUUUUUCAUAAGAGCUGUGUAAUUCUGUGGCACUCCACCAAGGAAAAGGCUUUAACUAUGUCAUGAAAGAGUUGUUUAAAAUCCCAAGUACAAACCUGUGUAUUACUACAUGUAACAGAAGACUUAAACAGAAUUUAUUAAUAAGCCUAAACUUGUUCGAGGCAUCUUGAGUGAAAAACGCUGUUAGCUAGCUCAGUAAAUACUAGUGAGGCUGAACUGCCAAUUUGCAAAUAGACUGGCUAUAUCAAGAAAGAUGACACUGGCCUUCCAUUUAAUAGUUCAGGUAUUUGAAUAAUUUUACAUUCCAUUUUAAUCUUUCUUUGGUAGCUUGUAUUUCUGGAUAGAGCUUCAGGUACUGAGAAAUGGGUGGAAUAUAAGCUGAAUAGGUCUGCUUUUUCCCAGUGAGAAACUGAGUUAUGUGAGAGAACAGCUCCCAGCUGCUGUCUCACUGCUGCUUCCAUAUGCUGCAUAAACACCACUGUUGGAAGUAACUAUAGAUCAUGGGCUGCAGGGUCUUUGGUGGUGUUACCACACUUGUUUCUCAGCCUUUGUUGCAGAAAGAAAGAUGCGGUCCUAAAUGACCUAGGAGGUUCUUGGUGGUAAGGGAUAGAUUCUCAAAGAUGCUACAACUAAACAGGCAUGUGCAGCUGCCAAAGGAUGGCUAAGUGCUUUGGAAACAUUUUAGGCCUCUAAACAUAUUGAAAAGGUAGAUUUCUCUUGGAGUUCUUUUUGUUCACCUUAUCACAUUAUUGAUCAAUUCUUUGAGCCAGGCUUUAUAAUUACUGUCAGGCUGCAGAUGGCUAUUAGGAGAAGCCUGCAGGACACAAAACAAAGAAUUAAAGUGUCUGCAGCAAAGCUGGACAUGUAAAGUUACAUAUUUGGGCGUGAGAUUUUCUAACAACUCAUUUCCACUUAAAGAGGUUCUGUGCCCUUCUCCCUGUCUGCCUUCUGCCUUGGCCUACCUCCCCUUACAUGCACUGGCUUGUGUUUUCUGACCCUGCACCAAGCCAAUUCUAAUUACUGGAAUUGAGAAGAAUAUUAAACUGGAAAAAAGGUGAAUCGUUUGUGAUAGCUAUGGAGUUGAUUCAAAGCAUGAAUGUACUGAUGAGCACAGAAUUAAUGCAAAGGAUGUGACUGGAUGUGGGUCUAGGGAAAGGAAGAGGAGAAAAACUAAACAAGAGCUUUACAGCAAUGGAAAUGUUGUUAAUGUUCUUUGUUAAAAAGUGCCACUACUCCUGAAUAACAAAUGGUCAGAUUCUGUUCAUGCACAGUCCAGCAUCAUCCUACAUAUGCAUGUUACCUUGGUCAUUAUGGUUUUGUCUUUCACAGUGUGGGUCUCAGUGGGUAAAGCUGUGACUGCAGUAUGGCAGAUCACUGAGACACCAGCAACAAGGCUUUGCUCUGAGGGAGGGUGGUCAACAGUAGUGACAUAUUUUGUAAGCUUGCCCCUCAGCUCUCUCCAGGUGAUAAUGUCUCUUGCCAGCUCCAUGGGACGAAGUAAUGACAACUAUUUUUGUCAACACUUUCUAAUGAUGGGCACUCUUAGUGAUACCAACAGCUGUAUGGAAGUCUUGCAAAGUCAAAUGAAGAACUUCAGGUGAGAACCACUGGACACUUUUUCCUGUAAACACUGAUGCCAGAUUUGUAUAUGGUAGCAAUCAGAAAACACUAAAUUAUUCAUUUAUGUCCUGAUUUCAUAAUUCCUUAAGAAACAGAACAUGAUUUUGCCCACUGUAAAAUAAAGACAAUAGCUGCUAUUCCGUUGCAUAUUGUACUUGUGAAGGAAGCAAGUUUCUGCAUCUCAGGUUUCUGCAUUUGUUAAGCUGUCCCACUUGCACACCAACUUCUUCAAGACCUACAGAGCCACUCAGUAGCAGAAUCCAAAACAGAAUUAAACCUGAGAGAGGAAUCAGAAUAUAGAAACUGUCCUAUUUGAUGGGGAAAUACUUGAUUGACUGCACUAAGGACGUAGUUUAUUUUAAAUAUUCUAAUCCUUUUGAAAUACUAAGAGAUCUAAAAGUAGAUACUGCAACUUUGAAAUGGAACAUUGCUAUUUUUGGGGAUGGUACCAAAAGUAGAUGUAAUUGCCAAAAAUACACAGAAAUAUUUAGCUGUUUUUCAGCAAGCACUGACCAAAUAAAGGAGCUCCCCUGGAUCAAGCUGGAUGUUAAUUAGUGACCCAUCACUAGGGUCUUUGCUUCUGAAAGUUUGACACCACUAUUUUAUAAUAAACCUAUAAGAUGCUGCAUUUUAGAAAAUACUGACCGCAUUCCCUGCUCCCUCUGUCAACCUGAACAAUUUCAUCUGAACUAAACAGAUGUUUAGUUUAGCUGUUCUCAUGCUUCCCUAAAAUCUCUGCUCUCUGCUUAGAUCUUAGGCUGCUUGGAGUUUAAAACAAUGAAAAUUUGUGGAUGUGUUUUUUGUAUUGUUCUUUGGCCAUACUAUGGUUAUCUAUAAUCAAUACAGGGUGUUUUCCAUGGUAAAUGACAUCAAUAUGUGGCAGCAGUGCUGUGAAAAUCAGGUUUCCAAUUCCUUGGUAGUCAGGAAUUUCUAACCCAAUAUGAUGCUAUUUGAAAUCAUCUAAAAGGAUCAAAUAUUCUGUAAGAAAAUAAAUGAACAAAUCCUUUUUAUCAAUUCAUAUUGGUUUUCUGUUGCUGUAUCACCAAAUGAAACCAGAAAGAUAAGGAAUUCUUUUUUUUUCAGAGAAAAUGAAUUCAUUUCUUAUCUUUGGCAAAAUUUGGCUGGGCUAUAUCCUUGAGUGAUGUCAUGUUAUUUAUCUGAGCUAAUAAAAAGACCAGUGACUCAGCUUCUGUAACUUAUAAUUCAAUCUCAGGUGAAAAGUUUGAACAGCAUGCCAAUAUUUCAUCCUAAUGUUAAUGUAUUAUCUUCAGGAGAGACCAAGGAGAGCCUUCUGGAAUGCAAAAAUGAAUACAUUUACAGGAUAACUAAAUAUUUUUAAGUCCUCUGCUUGUUUUCCAGGUGGCACCUGUUAUUCCUAAGUGACUUUAAUUCAUUUGGAUUGACAGAUCAAAUUUGCCAUCAACUCUGCCACUUUCCAACCAAAACUGGUAGGAAACAUACUAAAACAGAAAAAGGGAUAAUUAUGGCAAGAAGUAUUUUUUGUCUGCUUCAUUAGGAUGACCAUCUGCAAUGAAGAAUAGUGGGAUUUUCUACACGACUUCUGAAGACCAUCUCUACAUAAGAAAGGAAAUUUAAUAAGGCAAAGCUGAAGUGUGUGCUCACCAGCAGUGGUUGGGCCACUCACCAUGGGUAUCAGGCUGCGAGACAGAACAUGCCCCUUGUCAGGGAGCCCUUCAACUAGAUGGUAUUUAGAGGUCAUGAGAAGAAACAUGCUGAAGAAGUACAGCUGAGGUGAGGAGAAAGUCUUAAAGAGCUUUAGGAGAGGUUAUUGUUGGGGCAGAUAAGAAAAUAAAGCAUGAGUUCAAAAUAAACCAGGCUUCACCAGGUUUACUGUUUGCAGAAUUAAAUGAUUAUUCCCAGGAACUGACCACAACUCUGUGUGCUGUGACUGCUCAGAUAAAACAACUUCUAAAAUAACCCUUUCAGUAUUUAGAGGUCAAGCCCUACCUCUGAUCAGCUUAUGAUGCAAUUUAGUAAUUUUCCAUUUCCAAAUUGAUAAUUUUCAAACACAUGCUUUUGAUGCUUUUUCCAAGAAGCACUCUCUCUUCUCUGAAAAAGUAAUUGUAAACACCUCAUAGCCACCUAAUUAUUUUCUCUGAAAGUCCUCAGGCCCACUAAACUCUUAAGGAUAGUUGAGUGGUUGCUAUACUGAAACUGCUGCCUCUGAUUGAUUGUUUCUGUUUCCUGUUACUUUCUACCUCAUGGCUCCCAGUCCAAGUGCUUCUGUUGAGACUUUUUCUUUGCUGAGCACAAUGAAAGUCUUAGUCAACACACCUGCCUGUGUCUAUAAAAAUUUAUGGUAAUGCAAGUAAAUGAAUGUGGAUAUAUUACUGUACUAGUUCUAUCCUGAAUGUGUGAAUGUUAGUGGUGUUCCUUGUAAACUGAAGGGUCUUGAAGUUGUUACGACAGUGUCUCUAAAACACACUGAGACCUGCAAAGUUGCCUGGUUAAUCUGGGCACUCAGUUGUUUGUGGAAAGAGGUUGAGAAGCAGGAUCGAGCUGUACCUGCAAAAGGGGCAGCCACGGACAACAACAAAAGGAGGAGACAAAACUGAAGAAUGUGCUACAUCAUUUGCUGAUCCCCGUGAUAAUGUUGAAUGAAAAGAGUCACUUCAAUAACCUUGGUAGCAAUUUGUGCUUUGUCACAGUGACUCUCAGCCUUUUGUAAAGCAGGGUGUUGAAUUCAAGACUGGCCUCAGUGAAAAUGUAGUUGCUCCCACAAGCAUAUUCUUGUCUUACGAUCACUUGUUAAUGCAUAUUUAUUUAGUGAUUUACUUUCUGGGAACAAUUCAAUUCACGUUCACUUUUUCAUUAUCAGCAAAAACUCAUUACCCUGUUUUUCAGAAGGCACAAAUGAGACAGCAAGUGAGGUAGUUAGUAGCUUAAAGCCAUGCAGUGGGUCAGUGAGUCAUCAGCAGAGCAGUUUGAAUGUCAGGCAGGUUUUGUUUUGUGUUUCA